rnacentral:rRNA from 1 species
ACCGAAGCUGGAUUCGCUAGUAAUCGCGCAUCAGCCAUGGCGCGGUGAAUACGUUCCCGGGCCUUGUACACACCGCCCGUCAAGCCAUGAAAGCCGGGGGCGCCUGAAGUCCGUGACCGCGAGGGUCGGCCUAGGGUGAAACCGGUGAUUGGGGCUAAGUCGUAACAAGGUAUC